AUUGAACGCUGGCGGCAGGCCUAACACAUGCAAGUCGAACGAGUGGCGGACGGGUGAGUAAUGUCUGGGAAACUGCCUGAUGGAGGGGGAUAACUCCUGGAAACGGUAGCUAAUACCGCAUACCAUCGGUUCUGCCCAGAUUGGAUAAGCUAGUAGGUGGGGUAACGGCUCACCUAGGCGACGAUCCCUAGCUGGUCUGAGAGGAUGACCAGCAACACUGGAACUGAGACACGGUCCAGACUCCUACGGGAGGCAGCAGUGGGGAAUAUUGCACAAUGGGCGCAAGCCUGAUGCAGCAAGGCCGCGUGUAUGAAGAAGGUCUUCGGGUCGUAAAGUACUUUCAGCGGGGAGGCGUUACCCGAAGAAGAAGCACCGGCUAACUACGUGCCAGCAGCCGCGGUAAUAC
rnacentral:rRNA from 1 species